GGAGAAGUGGCCGAGUGGUCGAAGGCGGUUGACUCGAAAUCAACUGAGCUCCCUGCGGGCUCCGUGAGUUCGAAUCUCACCUUCUCCGCCA
rnacentral:tRNA from 1 species